rnacentral:rRNA from 1 species
UACGAAGGGUGCAAGCGUUACUCGGAAUUACUGGGCGUAAAGCGUGCGUAGGUGGUUGUUUAAGUCUGUUGUGAAAGCCCUGGGCUCAACCUGGGAACUGCAGUGGAAACUGGACAACUAGAGUGUGGUAGAGGGUAGCGGAAUUCCCGGUGUAGCAGUGAAGUGCGUAGAGAUCGGGAGGAACAUCCAUGGCGAAGGCAGCUACCUGGACCAACACUGACACUGAGGCACGAAAGCGUGGGGAGCAAACAGG